rnacentral:misc_RNA from 1 species
AGCAGCCGCGGUAAUUCCAGCUCCAAUAGCGUAUAUUAAAGUUGUUGCAGUUAAAAAGCUCGUAGUUGAAUUUCGGGGUUAGUAGGUUGGUCAUGCCUCUGGUAUGUACUGGUCUCACUGAUUCCUCCUUCCUGAUGAGCCGUAAUGCCAUUAAUUUGGUGUUGCGGGGAAUUUGGACUGUUACUUUGAAAAAUUAGAGUGUUUAAAGCAAGCUAACGCUUGAAUACAUUAGCAUGGAAUAAUGAAAUAGGACGUUCGAUCCUAUUUUGUUGGUUUCUAGGAUUGACGUAAUGAUUAAUAGGGAUAGUUGGGGGCAUUAGUAUUCAAUUGUCAGAGGUGAAAUUCUUGGAUUUAUUGAAGACUAACUACUGCGAAAGCAUUUGCCAAGGAUGUUUUCAUUAAUCAAGAACGAAAGUUAGGGAUCGAAGACGAUCAGAUACCGUCGUAGUCUUAACCAUAAACUAUGCCGACUAGGGAUCGGAUGAUGUUAAUUUUUUAAUGUACUCAUUCGGCGCCUUAC